CGCCGCUGCCUGCGGCCCCUCCCCGCCUCCCCCGGUCCCGGCGGAGGGCGAGGCUCCAACCAUCUUCGGUGUGCAGCGGGGGCCCAGGUCCACUGUGUUCCUGCCUCACCCUUUGGUGGCAAGAUGAGGAUAGCCCUUCCUCCGUUUACCCUUGGACUAGGAUUUGAGGCCCCAGGGCACUCCUGCCUGGACCAGGAGUUCCCACUGAGAUGCUCAACACUAAUUAGGGUUGAACUCUGGGCAGGCCUCUGGGUCUAUUACAGCUGACCAAGCCCUUUUAUAUCAUCUGAUCCCACGACAACGGAAAUGGAGGCCAGAAGGGGACAGAGGUGGUCAGCGGGAGAGGAGCCAAGAUGGUCAUCUGGGUUUUGUCUCAGGCUGGUCCAAGGCUUCAAACCCUAAGGACUAGAAAUUGCGCUGGGGACCAGCUGUGGGUUCAGCACCCUUGAACCUCCUCCGUCAGUCCCCAGAAGGGCCUUGUGAUGUCCAUACCAGUGGGGUGGCCAGAAUCACCCAAUCUGACUCUGGUCACACGGCUUUCUCUUGGUCCUGGUCUCCACGAGGGCAGGGGCCCAUUUGUCUGGGCCACCCAGCCCAGUCAGCCCCGGCGCACUGUAGAUAGCACUCACCAUAACAUUGCAGGAUUACUAGAGUGCAGUGGGAUCUCCCUAACCUGCCUUAGCCCCCUGCAUGUCCCCAGGGGCUCAGCUGUGGUGAACCUGGGACAUCAUUGACACUCUCCCACCUGGGGGCCCUGGGGCAGACCACCCAGUGUCCAUGCUGGGCCUCAGUUUCUUGUCUAACCACCAUUCAUUCAGAUCCAGCCCACAAUCCCAGAGCACCCAUUCUGGAUCAGGAACCAGCCCUGUACUCUGGGUGCUCUUGGCCCAGCCUAGCACUCCUAAGAACCCAGCCUCUUCCUCUGUUAGUUGGUGAGGAAAGGGAAUGUAGAGAAUGCAGUUUUCAAGAGAAAAGUGUUACAGGUGCCAGGCAUGGUGGCUCAGGCCUGUAUUCCCAGCACUUUGGGAGGCCCAGGCAAAUGGAUCACCUGAGGUCAGGAGUUUAAGACCAGCCAGACCAACAUGGUGAAACCCGGUCUCUACUAAAUACAAAAACUUAGCUGGGUGUGGUGGUGCAUGCCUGUAGUCCCAGCUACUUGGGAGACUAAGGCAGGCGAAUUGCUUGAACCCGGUAGGCGGAGGUUGCAGUGAGCCAAAAUUGCACCAUUG
rnacentral:lncRNA from 10 species